AAUCCUCAACCCUUUCUUCCUUGUGGAUGAAUGGUGUUGGAUGUGGAAGUCUGCUGGCCUUAUGGGUCAGCUCUUCUGAAACGAAUUAGCAGGGUCACCAUGUACAAGCCUCCAGCUUGGUAUUGAUAGAUGUCUUACCAGGGUGUAGCACAAUGUGCAAGGUGCUCAAGCUCACAGCUGUCCCUUCAGGACAAUUAACCCGACG
rnacentral:misc_RNA from 1 species